GACGAACGCUGGCGGCGUGCCUAAUACAUGCAAGUAGAACGCUGAAGGAGGAGCUUGCUUCUCUGGAUGAGUUGCGAACGGGUGAGUAACGCGUAGGUAACCUGCCUGGUAGCGGGGGAUAACUAUUGGAAACGAUAGCUAAUACCGCAUAAGAGUAGAUGUUGCAUGACAUUUGCUUAAAAGGUGCAAUUGCAUCACUACCAGAUGGACCUGCGUUGUAUUAGCUAGUUGGUGAGGUAACGGCUCACCAAGGCGAGGAUACAUAGCCGACCUGAGAGGGUGAGCGGACAGACUGGGACUGAGAUACGGGCGAGACUCCUGCGGGAGGCAGAGGUGGGGAAUAUUGCAUAAUGGGGGAAAGAAUGAUGCAGUAACGCGGCGGGCGGGAUGGCGGCGUUCGGGUUGUAAACCGAUGGCGACUGUGAAGAAGAGUGGGUGGGGGUAAUGGGUAGAGAAGCAACGGAUAAGUACGUG
rnacentral:rRNA from 1 species